GGUAAAGUGGCCGAGUGUUAGGCGGCAGGCUGUAGUCCUGCACACAUUGGUUUAACUCCUUUCUUUAUC
rnacentral:tRNA from 1 species